GACGAACGCUGGCGGCGUGCCUAAUACAUGCUAGUAGACCGCUGUUGAGAACGGGUGAGUAACGCGUAGGUAACCUGCCCCAUAGCGGGGGAUAACUAUUGGGAACGGUAGAUAACACCGCAUACUGUGAGAUGGACCUGCGUUGUAUUAGAUAGUUGGUGAGGUAAAGGCUCACCAAGUCGACGAUACAUAGCCGACCUGAGAGGGUGAUCGGCGACACUGGGAACGAGACACGGCCAAGACUCCGACGGUAGGCAGAAGUAGGGAAACGUGGGCGAGUGAUGGAAGUCUGACCGAGCAACGCCGCGGGAGUGGAGAAGGUUUUCGGGUCGUAAAGCGCUGUUGUCAGGGAAGCGGUAACUAACCAGAAAGGGACGGCUAACUACGUGCCAGCCGCCGCGGUAAUAC
rnacentral:rRNA from 1 species